ensembl:ncRNA
UUGAGCAAAAUUUCAGGUGUGUGA